rnacentral:rRNA from 1 species
ACGGGUGAGUAACGCGUAUGCAACCUACCUAUCGAGAGGGGAAGUAACCCGGCGAAAGUCGGACUAAUACCGCAUAAAACAGGGGCACCGCAUGGUGAUAUUUGUUAAAGAAAUUCGCUGAUAGAUGGGCAUGCGUUCCAUUAGGUAGUUGGUGAGGUAACGGCUCACCAAGCCGACGAUGGAUAGGGGAACUGAGAGGUUGGUCCCCCACACUGGUACUGAGACACGGACCAGACUCCUACGGGAGGCAGCAGUGAGGAAUACUGGUCAAUGGGCGAGAGCCUGAACCAGCCAAGUCGCGUGAAGGAAGAAGGAUCUAUGGUUCGUAAACUUCUUUUGCAGGGGAAUAAAGUGCAGGACGUGUCCUGUUUUGUAUGUACCCUGAGAAUAAGGAUCGGCUAACUCCGUGCCAGCCGCGGC